UGAAGUUUGGCAGUUCAAUAUUAAAUGUAAAUUUCUUACAUUCAUAUAGAAAAUAUAAGCAAUCCUUGACUUGUGUAAAUGGUCAUUCAGUGAAAUCUUGCAUAAGUUAAAAUAUACAUAUGUUGAAGCAUACCCUUUACAUGGGUUGGAAAUUUAAUAAUGAUCAUAGCAGUGCUGGAAGGGAAUGCUGACAUCUACAAUUCUGAUUAUAUUGGCAAAUACAAAGUUGAACCUUCCUCUCACAUCACUGUAAAGGAUAUUGCCUUUUACAUGCUACAUGCUUACAUUAAUGUCACAGUUUAUGCAGAAAAGAAGAUGGCUCUGUGGAGGAGCAUUCUUGGCUUAAAACUGAAACUUCAAGGGGCUGUAUCACAAAGGAAUGCUGUCAGGAACAUGUAGAGGCCUAUAGUACUGAUUCAUUACUAUACAGUAC
rnacentral:lncRNA from 1 species